UUCAAGGUAUAUAAGACAGGUAACCUUGGUUUGUUUUGUGGAUUUAUUUUAUCAUUAUCUGUAUUUAGCAACGUGAUAGAACAUUACAGUGAUUGCUUGACUGGAGUUAUUAUUAUUAUUAAUAAUAACAACAGUAAUAAUUUAUCAUUAUCAGAUCUACAUUGAAGGCAUCAGUUUGAGGCAAAUAUUUGUUAUACCUUGAAAAAAACAGAGAUGACAGCCUCAGUGGAGCAACAAACAGUGGACAGAGUAUGUCAGUUCCUGGAAGAAGAACAAGGACUUAAAAAUGUGCUAAUUAAGUUUAAAGAACAUUACAUCACUGAUGACAAACUGCAAAGUCUCACAGCUGAUGAUCUAAAGAACAUGGGCAUAGAAAAUCGUAAGGACCAUCUAAAAAUCCUAAAUACUAUCAAGAUGGUGUUGCAGAUCAAAGACCCAUCCAAGGUGUUUAAUGAUUCUGUCCAUGGACACAUGGAGUUUCACCCUCUACUUGUCAAAAUCAUCAAAAUCAAUUCCAGAGAUUACGAUACAUCAAGCAGCUUGGUGGAGCUUAUUUUGUUUACCCUGGAGCAUCUCACAACCGCUUUGAACACUCUCUUGGGUAUGUCCACAUAG
ensembl:lncRNA